rnacentral:rRNA from 1 species
ACGAACGCUGGCGGCGUGCCUAAUACCUGCCAGUCGUGCGGACCUUUUAAAAGCUUGCUUUUAAAAGGUUAGCGGCGGACGGGUGAGUAACACGUGGGCAACCUGCCUGUAAGACUGGGAUAACGCCGGGAAACCGGGGCUAAUACCAGAUCGUUUUUUCCUCCGCAUGGAGGAAAAAGGAAAGGCGGCUUCGGCUGCCACUUACAGAUGGGCCCGCGGCGCAUUAGCUAGUUGGCGGGGUAACGGCCCACCAAGGCAACGAUGCGUAGCCGACCUGAGAGGGUGAUCGGCCACAUUGGGACUGAGACACGGCCCAAACUCCUACGGGAGGCAGCAGUAGGGAAUCUUCCGCAAUGGACGAAAGUCUGACGGAGCAACGCCGCGUGAGUGAAGAAGGCCUUCGGGUCGUAAAACUCUGUUGCCGGGGAAGAACAAGUGACGUUCGAACAGGGCGGCGCCUUGACGGUACCCGGCCAGAAAGCCACGGCUAACUACGUG